rnacentral:rRNA from 1 species
AGAGUUUGAUCCUGGCUCAGGACGAACGCUGGCGGCACGCUUAACACAUGCAAGUCGAACGAGAGAAGAGGAGCUUGCUUUUCUGAUCUAGUGGCGGACGGGUGAGUAACACGUGAGCAAUCUGCCUUUCAGAGGGGGAUACCGAUUGGAAACGAUCGUUAAUACCGCAUAACAUAAUUGAACCGCAUGAUUUGAUUAUCAAAGAUUUAUCGCUGAAAGAUGAGCUCGCGUCUGAUUAGCUAGUUGGUAAGGUAACGGCUUACCAAGGCGACGAUCAGUAGCCGGACUGAGAGGUUGAUCGGCCACAUUGGGACUGAGACACGGCCCAGACUCCUACGGGAGGCAGCAGUGGGGAAUAUUGCACAAUGGAGGAAACUCUGAUGCAGCGAUGCCGCGUGAGGGAAGAAGGUUUUAGGAUUGUAAACCUCUGUCUUCAGGGACGAAAAAAGACGGUACCUGAGGAGGAAGCUCCGGCUAACUACGUGCCAGCAGCCGCGGUAAUACGUAGGGAGCGAGCGUUGUCCGGAAUUACUGGGUGUAAAGGGAGCGUAGGCGGGAUCGCAAGUCAGAUGUGAAAACUAUGGGCUUAACCCAUAAACUGCAUUUGAAACUGUGGUUCUUGAGUGAAGUAGAGGUAAGCGGAAUUCCUAGUGUAGCGGUGAAAUGCGUAGAUAUUAGGAGGAACAUCAGUGGCGAAGGCGGCUUACUGGGCUUUAACUGACGCUGAGGCUCGAAAGCGUGGGGAGCAAACAGGAUUAGAUACCCUGGUAGUCCACGCCGUAAACGAUGAUUACUAGGUGUGGGGGGACUGACCCCUUCCGUGCCGCAGCAAACGCAAUAAGUAAUCCACCUGGGGAGUACGACCGCAAGGUUGAAACUCAAAGGAAUUGACGGGGGCCCGCACAAGCAGUGGAGUAUGUGGGUUAAUUCGAAGCAACGCGAAGAACCUUACCAGGUCUUGACAUCGUAUGCAUAGCUCAGAGAUGAGUGAAAUCUCUUCGGAGACAUAUAGACAGGUGGUGCAUGGUUGUCGUCAGCUCGUGUCGUGAGAUGUUGGGUUAAGUCCCGCAACGAGCGCAACCCUUACUGUUAGUUGCUACGCAAGAGCACUCUAGCAGGACUGCCGUUGACAAAACGGAGGAAGGUGGGGAUGACGUCAAAUCAUCAUGCCCCUUAUGACCUGGGCCUCACACGUACUACAAUGGCUGUCAACAGAGGGAAGCAAAGCCGCGAGGUGGAGCGAACCCCUAAAAGCAGUCUUAGUUCGGAUUGUAGGCUGCAACCCGCCUACAUGAAGUCGGAAUUGCUAGUAAUCGCAGAUCAGCAUGCUGCGGUGAAUACGUUCCCGGGCCUUGUACACACCGCCCGUCACGCCAUGGGAGUCGGUAACACCCGAAGCCUGUAGUCUAACCGCAAGGAGGACGCAGUCGAAGGUGGGAUUGAUGACUGGGGUG